rnacentral:rRNA from 1 species
UACGUAGGCAGCAAGCGUUGUUCGGAAUUACUGGGCGUAAAGGGCGCGUAGGCGGGGUGUCACGUCCGCUGUGAAAGCCUGGAGCUUAACUCCAGCGGGUCGGUGGAUACGGACACUCUUGAAGGCAGUAGGGGAAGAUGGAAUUACCCAUGGAGCGGUGAAAUGCGUAGAGAUGGGUAGGAACACCGGUGGCGAAGGCGGUCUUCUGGGAUGUCCUUGACGCUGAGGCGCGAAAGCUGGGGGAGCGAACGGG